rnacentral:tmRNA from 1 species
GGGAGCGACUUGGCUUCGACAGGAGUAAGUCUGCUUAGAUGGCAUGUCGCUUUGGGCAAAGCGUAAAAAGCCCAAAUAAAAUUAAACGCAAACAACGUUAAAUUCGCUCCUGCUUACGCAAAAGCUGCGUAAGUUCAGUUGAGCCUGAAAUUUAAGUCAUACUAUCUAGCUUAAUUUUCGGUCAUUUUUGAUAGUGUAGCUUUGCGUUUGACAAGCGUUGAGGUGAAAUAAAGUCUUAGCCUUGCUUUUGAGUUUUGGAAGAUGAGCGAAGUAGGGUGAAGUAGUCAUCUUUGCUAAGCAUGUAGAGGUCUUUGUGGGAUUAUUUUUGGACAGGGGUUCGAUUCCCCUCGCUUCCACCA